GACGAACGCUGGCGGCGUGCUUAACACAUGCAAGUCGAGCGGUAAGGCCCUUCGGGUACGACGAGCGGCGAACGGGUGAGUAACACGUGGGUGACCUGCCUCUAGCUCUGGGAUAAGCCUGGGAAACUGGGUCUAAUACCGGAUAUGACUCCACGGCGCAUGUUGUGGGGUGGAAAGCCUUGUGUGGCUAGAGAUGGGCCCGCGGCCUAUCAGCUUGUUGGUGGGGGAUGGCCUACCAAGGCGACGACGGGUAGCCGGCCUGAGAGGGCGACCGGCCACACUGGGACUGAGACACGGCCCAGACUCCUACGGGAGGCAGCAGUGGGGAAUCUUGCGCAAUGGGCGAAAGCCUGACGCAGCGACGCCGCGUGAGGGAUGACGGCCU
rnacentral:rRNA from 1 species